UCCGUAGGCGGGCCAUUAAGUCAGGGGUGAAAGUCUGCAGCUCAACUGUAGAAUUGCCCUUGAUACUGGUGGUCUUGAGUUAUAGUGAAGUAACUAGAAUAUGUAGUGUAGCGGUGAAAUGCAUAGAUAUUACAUAGAAUACCGAUUGCGAAGGCAGGUUACUAACUAUAUACUGACGCUGAUGGACGAAAGCGUGGGGAGCGAACAGGAUUAGAUACCCUGGUAGUCC
rnacentral:rRNA from 1 species